GGGACACGUGGUAUCCUGUCUGAAUAUGGGGGGACCAUCCUCCAAGGCUAAAUACUCCUGACUGACCGAUAGUGAACCAGUACCGUGAGGGAAAGGCGAAAAGAACCCCGGCGAGGGGAGUGAAAAAGAACCUGAAACCGUGUACGUACAAGCAGUGGGAGCACAGAGCAAUCUGUGUGACUGCGUACCUUUUGUAUAAUGGGUCAGCGACUUAUAUUCUGUAGCAAGGUUAACCGAAUAGGGGAGCCGAAGGGAAACCGAGUCUUAACUGGGCGUUAAGUUGCAGGGUAUAGACCCGAAACCCGGUGAUCUAGCCAUGGGCAGGUUGAAGGUUGGGUAACACUAACUGGAGGACCGAACCGACUAAUGUUGAAAAAUUAGCGGAUGACUUGUGGCUGGGGGUGAAAGGCCAAUCAAACCGGGAGAUAGCUGGUUCUCCCCGAAAGCUAUUUAGGUAGCGCCUCGUGAAUUCAUCUCCGGGGGUAGAGCACUGUUUCGGCAAGGGGGUCAUCCCGACUUACCAACCCGAUGCAAACUGCGAAUACCGGAGAAUGUUAUCACGGGAGACACACGGCGGGUGCUAACGUCCGUCGUGAAGAGGGAAACAACCCAGACCGCCAGCUAAGGUCCCAAAGUCAUGGUUAAGUGGGAAACGAUGUGGGAAGGCCCAGACAGCCAGGAUGUUGGCUUAGAAGCAGCCAUCAUUUAAAGAAAGCGUAA
rnacentral:rRNA from 1 species